UUUUUUUUUUUUUUUUCUUUUUUUUCUUUUUUUUCUCUUUUUUUUGGCCUGUUGCUUUUGGGCCUGGGCGCUGUUAGGCCUGCUGCUGGCGAACUGGGCCUGGCGCUGUAGGCCUGCUGGGUUGGCCUACUGCUGCGCUAGGCUUGGAGCCUGCUGCUGCACUGGGCCUGCACUUGCUGUUGGGCCUGCGCUGGAUUGGGCCUGCUGUGGCCUGCUAUUAUUUUUCUGCUUUGUUUUUUUCCCUUUUUUUGCUGUUUUGUUUUUUUUUUGGGGCCUGGGCUACUGGGCUUAUGCUGUUGCGGGUCGGGUUGGAUCCGGGUCGGGUCGCAAUUCGUGGGUCGGGUCGGUCUGACCCGACUAUUUUCAAUAUUUUUUAUGUUUUUUUUUCAUUUUUCAUUUUUCUUUCUUCUUCUUCUUCUUCUUCUUCUUCAAGCCCUAGGUGCCGCCGCCUCUUACUACCACCGUCUUCUCCUCUUUCUCUUCCUUUCUUUCCUCUUCCUUCCUAUUUCUUUUGCUGCUAAAACUCUUUUUUUUGAAACUUUUUUUUUAUUCGGGGCCUCCCUUUUUUGGGGUUAAAACCCCUUUUUAUAGAUGUUUUUCCUCUUCUUUUUGCAGGGAGCAUGUGGCUAGGGAGGAGGGAGGCCAUGCCCUAGGCUGGCGGUCGAAAAAUCGGGGAGUAGGUGUGCAAAUAGCGUUUGGCUGCCAGAAG
rnacentral:lncRNA from 1 species